GACGAAGGGGGCUAGCGUUGUUCGGAAUUACUGGGCGUAAAGCGUGUGUAGGUGGUUGCCAUAGUCAGGUGUGAAAGCCUUGAGCUCAACUCAAGAAAUGCACUUGAUACUGGGCAGCUAGAGGACCGGAGAGGAUAGUGGAAUUCCCAGUGUAGUGGUGAAAUACGUAGAGAUUGGGAAGAACACCAGUGGCGAAGGCGGCUAUCUGGACGGAUACUGACGCUGAGACGCGAAAGCGUGGGUAGCAAACAGG
rnacentral:rRNA from 1 species